GAUGAACGCUGGCGGCGUGCCUAAUACAUGCAAGUCGAGCGAACAGACGAGGAGCUUGCUCCUCUGACGUUAGCGGCGGACGGGUGAGUAACACGUGGAUAACCUACCUAUAAGACUGGGAUAACUUCGGGAAACCGGAGCUAAUACCGGAUAAUAUAUUGAACCGCAUGGUUCAAUAGUGAAAGACGGUUUUGCUGUCACUUAUAGAUGGAUCCGCGCCGCAUUAGCUAGUUGGUAAGGUAACGGCUUACCAAGGCAACGAUGCGUAGCCGACCUGAGAGGGUGGUCGGCCACCCUGGAACUGGGACACGGUCCAGACUCCUACGGGAGGCAGCAGUAGGGAAUCUUCCGCAAUGGGCGAAAGCUUGACGGAGCAACGCCGCGUGAGUGAUGAAGGUCUUCGGAUCGUAAAACUCUGUUAUUAGGGAAGAACAAAUGUGUAAGUAACUAUGCACGUCUUGACGGUACCUAAUCAGAAAGCCACGGCUAACUACGUG
rnacentral:rRNA from 1 species